AUACGUAGGUGGCGAGCGUUGUCCGGAAUUAUUGGGCGUAAAGAGCAUGUAGGCGGCCUAUUAAGUCGAGCGUGAAAAUGCGGGGCUCAACCCCGUAUGGCGCUGGAAACUGGUAGGCUUGAGUGCAGGCGAGGAAAGGGGAAUUCCCAGUGUAGCGGUGAAAUGCGUAGAUAUUGGGAGGAACACCAGUGGCGAAGGCGCCUUUCUGGACUGUGUCUGACGCUGAGAUGCGAAAGCCAGGGUAGCGAACGGGAUUAGAUACCCCGGUAGUCCUGGCCGUAAACGAUGGGUACUAGGUGUAGGAGGUAUCGACCCCUUCUGUGCCGGAGUUAACGCAAUAAGUACCCCGCCUGGGGAGUACGGCCGCAAGGUUGAAACUCAAAUGAAUUGACGGGG
rnacentral:rRNA from 1 species